CCCUACGGCGCGAUCAUAUCGUGCCUUCGACCGCGACCCCAGG
rnacentral:rRNA from 1 species